UAGGGUCGGGGGCGAGCCAGACGCACACCAGUGCAGAGGGAACCCGGUGCGAGUCCGGGACUGUCGCGCAGCGGUGAGGGUGACUGGCGGGGUGCGACGCCACUGGGCAACCAGCCCGGGAAGGCGCCCCGUCGGGAUGAUCCCGAGUCCGAAGACCUGCUGGCUCGUCACAUCCGAC
rnacentral:ncRNA from 2 species